rnacentral:rRNA from 1 species
UGGCUCAGGAUGAACGCUGGCGGCGUGCCUAAUACAUGCAAGUCGAACGAGUUCUGAUUAUUGAAAGGUGCUUGCAUCUUGAUUUAAUUUUGAACGAGUGGCGGACGGGUGAGUAACACGUGGGUAACCUGCCCUUGAGUGGGGGAUAACAUUUGGAAACAGAUGCUAAUACCGCAUAAAUCCAAAAACCGCAUGGUUCUUGGCUGAAAGAUGGCGUAAGCUAUCGCUUUUGGAUGGACCCGCGGCGUAUUAGCUAGUUGGUGAGGUAACGGCUCACCAAGGCAAUGAUACGUAGCCGAACUGAGAGGUUGAUCGGCCACAUUGGGACUGAGACACGGCCCAAACUCCUACGGGAGGCAGCAGUAGGGAAUCUUCCACAAUGGACGCAAGUCUGAUGGAGCAACGCCGCGUGAGUGAAGAAGGCUUUCGGGUCGUAAAACUCUGUUGUUGGAGAAGAAUGGUCGGCAGAGUAACUGUUGUCGGCGUGACGGUAUCCAACCAGAAAGCCACGGCUAACUACGUGCCAGCAGCCGCGGUAAUACGUAGGUGGCAAGCGUUAUCCGGAUUUAUUGGGCGUAAAGCGAGCGCAGGCGGUUUUUUAAGUCUGAUGUGAAAGCCCUCGGCUUAACCGAGGAAGUGCAUCGGAUACUGGGAAACUUGAGUGCAGAAGAGGACAGUGGAACUCCAUGUGUAGCGGUGAAAUGCGUAGAUAUAUGGAAGAACACCAGUGGCGAAGGCGGCUGUCUGGUCUGUAACUGACGCUGAGGCUCGAAAGCAUGGGUAGCGAACAGGAUUAGAUACCCUGGUAGUCCAUGCCGUAAACGAUGAAUGCUAGGUGUUGGAGGGUUUCCGCCCUUCAGUGCCGCAGCUAACGCAUUAAGCAUUCCGCCUGGGGAGUACGACCGCAAGGUUGAAACUCAAAGGAAUUGACGGGGGCCCGCACAAGCGGUGGAGCAUGUGGUUUAAUUCGAAGCAACGCGAAGAACCUUACCAGGUCUUGACAUCUUUUGAUCACCUGAGAGAUCAGGUUUCCCCUUCGGGGGCAAAAUGACAGGUGGUGCAUGGUUGUCGUCAGCUCGUGUCGUGAGAUGUUGGGUUAAGUCCCGCAACGAGCGCAACCCUUAUGACUAGUUGCCAGCAUUUAGUUGGGCACUCUAGUAAGACUGCCGGUGACAAACCGGAGGAAGGUGGGGAUGACGUCAAAUCAUCAUGCCCCUUAUGACCUGGGCUACACACGUGCUACAAUGGAUGGUACAACGAGUUGCGAGACCGCGAGGUCAAGCUAAUCUCUUAAAGCCAUUCUCAGUUCGGACUGUAGGCUGCAACUCGCCUACACGAAGUCGGAAUCGCUAGUAAUCGCGGAUCAGCACGCCGCGGUGAAUACGUUCCCGGGCCUUGUACACACCGCCCGUCACACCAUGAGAGUUUGUAACACCCGAAGCCGGUGGCGUAACCCUUUUAGGGAGCGAGCCGUCUAAGGUGGGACAAAUGA